GCCCAGGGGAGAGACUACUGGUGCUGUGCCUAUGCUCUCGUGGAUGGCGUGUGUCUCGGGUAGUAGCUCAGUUGGCAGCCUGUUCAGAGAUCAUCCAGACCAGCCCGUCUGGGAGCGACACCACAUCCAUUUGAAGAUACGUGUUCCCCACAGCAUUAGAGGAUGGAACCAGAAGGGCCUUUCUCAGAGCAAGAGCAGCCUGUGUUACCCAGGGACAGUCUGGUGGCAGUAAGGAGCAGGCACUCCUAUGGCCGGCCCCACACGUGGCCCUGCUCUCCCAUCGGCGGCGGCCAUGCUGGAGUGAGUUGCCACAGGGGCAUUGCCUCUAGGCCUUUCUUUCUGUGCCGCUUUCCUUUGUAAAAUGGUCACGAUAGUGACCUCUACCUUUUAGGGCUGCCGUGAGGAGUCAGUGAGCAUGGAGCAAGGCAUGGAGCACGGUGCCGGGCACAGGCUGAAUGCUCCAUAAACACCAGUCUGUUACUACCAUCCUGGCAAUCUUACAGUGAAGAUAACUCUGUUCUAGAUGGCCUGGAUGGCUUAGAACGGUGGUGUUUUAUUUAUUUAUUUUAAUCAGAGAAUAAUCUUAGAUUAUUAUUCAGGAAAGAAUCAGGCCAGCGUGUAGUUUGAAAAAGCAGAGUCAAUAUUUUGGGAAAAGGAAAACAAUGCCUAACGUUGACGAAAUAGUCUGUAGCAUGAGUAGCGUCUGGGACAUGGGAUACCGGGGCUUGGGAAACGUGGGUUUCACCAUCCGGGGUCUGGAUCUUCACAGAAGGGAAGCCAGGGAUAGACAACUUUCAAGUGCAGGUACCGCUGGGAAGAUGGAGCCAUGGAGGGAUUUACCAGGAUUGGACUGUGUCUUCCAGCUGGCGGGGGUCCACGGCAUGGAGAGGACCGAAUGUGAGGUGGCUUGGAGGACGGACUGGCCAUCAGAGAAUUGGAUGCCUGGUUUAUUAUUAUUUUUAUUUAUUUAUUUUUAAUGUUUAUUUUUGAGAGAGCGUGAGCAGGGGAGGAACAGAGAGAGAGGGGGACAGAGGAUCCAUAGCGGGCUCCACGCUGACAGCCUGAUGUGGGACUCAGACUCAUGAACCACAAGAUUGUGACCUGAGCCAAAGUCGGAUGCGUAACUGACUGAACCACCCAGGUGCUCCUGGAUGCCUGGUUUAAAAGAUGUCCCCAGUUUGUUCUCAGGCACCCAUCAGGAGGGACAGUAGCCAGGUUCUGCUCUGGCUCUGGUGCCCGUUGGGACAGACCUGGGACAGACAGAUACCUCCCACAGCCUGGCUUGAGUUGAGGGUUCUGUCAUCUUUUUGUGGUUUGGUGGGGGUGGGGAGCAGUCUCCCGUGAGCCCUGGCAGACUUUGAACUGGCCCUGGUUUCUGGGGUCUUCAGAAUUUGUAGUCAUUUAUCACCUGGCCCUCAGAGCUGAAGCCAAACGAAGUUCCAUUUUCAUGCCCUUAUCUCCAUGGAACCUUCUAGGCACCCCUUUUGAGAGGCCGUGGUUCUAGCAUCUCCCCUACAGCUGGCUCUGAGAUCAUGAGAACACCUACGUUUGUAGAGCACCGUACCAGGCAAUGUGCUGAACACGACUGUUACUUAAACCUCAUGACAAUCCUAGAAGCUAGGCUCGAUUAUUAACUCCAUUUAACUGAUGAGUAAAACGGAGGCCUGGAGAGGUCAAGUAACCUGCACAAGGUCACGUAGCUAGUAAGCCAUGGAGCCAGGGUGUGGAUCGUGCCACAGGUGCUUGCAGAUGCCUCAUCAGAGAAACUUUGGGUGAACGUAACAGUUCUCACCCUCCCCUGGUUGAGAACCUCUCCUGGUUCUCACCCUCCCCUGUUCUGCCUUGCCCCCACUAGCUCCAGGAUCUUCUGAGCCACCCCUGAGCUAACUGGAGGGGCCUGCCCAUCCCUAGCCCUAGCAAAGUGGGCUCAGCCUCCAGGGGAACAGAGGCAGCCUUGUGGCGGGAGCUCCCCGCAACUGCCAGCACCACUCCCCCUUGGUUGGGUCUGUUUCAACACCCCAGAGCAGCACAUUCCAUUCUGUAGCACAGCUGGGGGCUGGGGAUUCCGGAUUCCCCUGGCCGCCUGCUUUCUUCAGGGCCCCAGCAGAGCCUGCUGUCUGGGCUGGGACACUGGGUCCCAGCCACACACAUUCCAGCAGCAACCACCCCCCACGUUGGAUUUGCCAAGGAGUGAACUUUAGCCAGGAUUACAGCCGACUAAACAGUUGUGGGAUGUGAGCUUCCUUUGUGGGGCUCAAGAGGCUGGAUGCUGAUGGGGCUGAGAGGGGAGGAGGGGUUGGGGGUGGGCUGCUUUAGGAGUCAGGAGAAAAGCUGCCCUCUGAGGCAGGCUUCUCUGCCGCUGUCAUGGCCCCUGGAGGGGGAUCUGAGCAGGGCUCCCAGAAAUCUUCCUGUAAGGCAGGGCAGCAGAGGCAUUGUACCCCACCCGCCCUGGGCUUCGCCCCCAGUAGUAUAGUGGUUAAGAGCAUGGGGUCAAAUCCUAGUGCCACCACUAUGUACAAGCUGUGUGUCCUUCAGUAAGUUAAUUAACUUCUUUGAACCUCAGCCUCAUCAUUAAAAUGGGGAUAAUAAUAGUACCUACUUCCAAGGGCUGUUGGCAGGAUUAAAUUAUAAUACCAAAGUGCCUGGGGUAGUGCCUGCCACCCAGCUUGACAUUUUUUGAUUGCUAGUAUUAUGUCUUCUCCCCUCCAUUGGCUUACAUCGCACCUGGGUGUGUAUUUUCUGAAGCAAACUCCCAAGUGUAGGUUCUGGCCUCCUGAAAGUAACAACUCCGGGUAGGUAAGAUGUUCCCGUCUUUUCCCUGCCUUUCUGCCAGUAGCGUUUCUUAGUUAACCAAUCAGGAAUGUACUGAGCACCUAUUAUGUGUAGGCACUGUGCUAGCUAGGUCAAGGCCUUUGGUUAAUAAAAAAUAUUAAUUAUCAUUUAAUGAACAUUUUCUAAAUGCCAGGCACUGGCUCCAGGAGCUUUUCAUAUAUUUCCCUAUUUUUUCAGCCACCCUGUGAAGUAGACAUUAUUACUCCAUUUUAUGGUGUUCCCAAUGUCACAUGGUAUCUAAGUCACAGGAUUGGAACCCAGAACUGGGCUCUCCUACCUCUUUUCACCUGAUCCUGAGUGUCUAGCAGCCUGCCCCAAAUCCUUCCUGUUCUUUAUCAGAACUCUGAGUUUGCACCCGACUGAAACACUUGACUUCCUCUGCUCCCUUGCAACUAGGGAUGGCCGCGUGACUCCAUUCUGGCCGAGGAGCUACGUAGUGGAAAUCUACCAGGUGGGACUUGGGAAAGUACUGUUUUCCUGAUCAAAAGGGCCAGGGGCAGCUGACAGGCUGCUUUUGCUUGAAGCCCUUCCCUGCCCUGCUGCCUGGAAUGUGGUCGAGAAGUGGGGAGGAGGAGGCGACCACGAGAACAGAAGCCACCCCUCGCAGGGCAGGAAGACAGAAUGAGCCAGGGACAUGGACCUCCCACCAGCCCAUCUCCAGACUUCUCGUGUGGAGCAGCCCCACUGUUUCUUGGGGUUUCUGUCAGAGGCAGCCGUUCACCGACACACAGCCCAGAUGCUCGCCGGGCAGCACCAGCUGUCUGUCUCCAGGCCGGCCAGGAGGGAGCAUGUUGUGACUGAAGGAAAUGAAGGGUGGGCUCAGGCCGCGUGGGGCUUUGCCCGGUCUUUGGAAGGAUUCUUCUUGGUCCCAGGGGAGAGACUGCCGGGAGGGUCCCACAGCAGAUGUCGGGAGCAGAGCAGAGAGCAGGGCUUGACCCCUGUGUGGGGGGCGGGGGAGGAGUGCUUUACUGGGGCUUCCCAGGAUGGGCUAAGGGAGCCUCUCCCCGCCCGCCGCCUCUCACUGGCUGCCAGCACCUGACAGAGGUCGCUAUUGUGCUCUAGCCAGAAGUUGCUUUGAGUCCUGUGUGUUCAGUGGAAAAAUAAUCCCUGGUCCUGGUUGACCAUAGAAGUGUCCGUAAAUAUUUGGUCGGGGUAGGAGUUUGGGAGACAAGGGGCAGAUUCAGGGAGCUGGAGGGCUCUGGGUGAGGGUGGGCGGCAGCGGCUUCCUCGGAGCUGAGGACAAACAAGCAGGCCUCUGCUGCUCCUGACCUGUGGUGAGGCCACCUGACUGCCCGGGGAGGUGAUUUACGGGCAGGCUGUCAGACCACCUGUUAGCUUCCCCUGGCCCCACAGCAGAAUGUGGGCCCUUUGGCCUGCCUCACUUCUCUGUGGCAGCCUGCUUCUCUGAGAGCCCUGGAAGCCAAGGUCCUCCUCACAGGACGCGCCCCAUUGUCUUGGAGGAGCGGGGAGCCUGGACUGGACUUGGCAGCUGUACGUACUGUCGCUGGUGAGGAAAGCUGCUCUGGGGUGUCCCCAGCCCCCCUGCCCUGGGUACCUCUGCCUCGUCGCUCGGCAUUCCUGACAAACCCCCGGGAUUUCCUCACACCACCCCUUCCCUGAGUAGCAGGAGCCCGUUGCCUCCAUUUUAAGCCUUCUCCCCUCCCUGCCCCAUUCAGUUCACGGUAGCGGCCCGCGUGUGCUCUGAAGUCGCUGAAGAAGCCCCUCGGUUAUUAUAGCCACUUCCUUCCCGCACGCAGGACCAAGAAGCUCCAAGCCUGAGACAGGGAGGCUAAGACACAAAACAGGAGUCAACUUGGCAAAGGCCACAUGCUGGGUCGUGUGGGCCUGACUAGACUUGGCUCACUGUCCCAGGAGUGGAGAGGCCCCAGGACGAAGCCGUGGGACAAGUGACUGCAGCUUGCCUGGCCAGCGGUGCAUCGGGUACCAGGCCGAGGUGCCCAGGGAUGAGGGUGCUGUACUUCCACCCUGGGGCCCAUCUCUCCCCCGGGUGCCCCCAUCCAUCUCCGGGCUUAGCCUGCUUCUCCUAAAGGGAAUCCAGCCCUGGAGGCCCCUUUGUGGGCCAGUGCCAAGGGAGGACUGGAGGAGCCCUGGCCAGGGAUGGUUUCUGGGCCCAUGGACCAUGGCUUUGAGGGGCUUCUGAAGCCCCUGAGAUAACCUGCAAAAAGAGCUGCAUUUCCCUGGGGAGAGGGUUCAUGGCCCUGAUCAGAUUCUAAGACGAAUCCAUGAUGCAGAAACUGUUAGUAUUCAGUGUGAUGGUUGUGGACGUGUGUGUGUGUGUGUGUGUGUGUGUGUGUGUGUGUGUGUGUGUGUGUGUGUCAAGGAGAGGCACUGGGGCAGUGGCCAUGUGGGCUCCACACUCACCGAAGUCGCUGGAACACAUCUGUUCCAUGAGGCCGUCGGCACUGUGCUCCAUUUCACACUGGGCACAGAUCUUGGUCACUGUCAAGAGAGAAGCAGGGGUGGAGGCGAGGGAAGCUCAUGAGGGGAUCAGAGUUCAAUAAACCACUUAGAGCCCAGGCUAAUGACUGAA